rnacentral:rRNA from 1 species
GAUGAACGCUGGCGGCGUGCCUAACACAUGCAAGUCGAACGGAGUCGUUUUGGAAAUCUCUUCGGAGAUGGAAUUCUCGACUUAGUGGCGGACGGGUGAGUAACGCGUGAGCAAUCUGCCUUUAAGAGGGGGAUAACAGUCGGAAACGGCUGCUAAUACCGCAUAAAGCAUUAAAUUCGCAUGUUUUUGAUGCCAAAGGAGCAAUCCGCUUUUAGAUGAGCUCGCGUCUGAUUAGCUAGUUGGCGGGGUAACGGCCCACCAAGGCGACGAUCAGUAGCCGGACUGAGAGGUUGAACGGCCACAUUGGGACUGAGACACGGCCCAGACGCCUACGGGAGGCAGCAGUGGGGAAUAUUGCGCAAUGGGGGAAACCCUGACGAAGCAACGCCGCGUGAUUGAAGAAGGCCUUCGGGUUGUAAAGAUCUUUAAUCAGGGACGAAACAAAUGACGGUACCUGAAGAAUAAGCUCCGGCUAACUACGUG